rnacentral:rRNA from 1 species
UACAGAGGUCUCAAGCGUUGUUCGGAUUCAUUGGGCGUAAAGGGUGCGUAGGUGGCGCGGUAAGUCGGGUGUGAAAUCUCGGAGCUUAACUCCGAAAUUGCAUUCGAUACUGCCGUGCUCGAGGACUGGAGAGGAGACUGGAAUUCAUGGUGUAGCAGUGAAAUGCGUAGAUAUCAAGUGGAACACCAGUGGCGAAGGCGAGUCUCUGGACAUUUCCUGACGCUGAGGCACGAAAGCCAGGGGAGCAAACGGG